AGGUUGUGAUGAUCUGAUCACGUCGGUGUUUGACUUUGCUAAGAGCUUGUGUUCACUGCACCUGACGGAGGACGAGCUCGCUCUCUUCUCAGCGUUCGUUCUGCUCUCAGCAGACCGCUCCUGGCUGCAGGAGAAGCUGCAGGUGGAGAAGCUGCAGCAGAAAACUCAGCUGGCUCUGCAACACGUCCUGCAGAAGAACCACAGAGGAGACGCAGUUCUGAGCAAGCUCAGAUGUAAAGUAUCAGCGCUGCGUUCACUGUGCAGUCGACACUCGGAGAAACUGACGGCGUUCCGAACCGUUUACCCCGACGUGGUGCGGACGCACUUCCCUCCUCUUUACAAGGAGCUGUUUGGUGCCGACCUCGAAGUGACGCCGCAGGCCGACGACUGAGCGGCGAUGGCAACGCUCCACAGAGCCGACCGGCGGCGAGCUGCUGGAUUCAGACGGACGGAGGCCGGUUUGAACAGUCGUGGAGGAACGUGACGACUCUGCUGCACGUUUCCUGGACAGAUGAGGCUUUGAGAAGGAAGAGACGUGAACUCUUCGCCUCCUCCUCUCACGGCUCUGUGAUUCGGACGCAGGGAGGAGUCAGGUGGUUUCUCUUCGCCUGCAUUGAGGAUCUGAAGCAGUUUCAGAUCCGACACUGAAACCUCAGUUUUUCCGUCACCAGCUCGUCGACACCUCAGCUCUUCUUACAACCACGAUGAAUUCAUUCACACAUCCUCGAGAAAAGUCCGGUGAGCUAAGGUGGCUAGUGAGCUAACUCGUGGACAAACUACUGAAUGAACCGAGCGGACGCGUGAUCCGGGGCGACUGUUGGAAAAAUCCGUCCAUCUAACUGUUGAACCAGUUAAAAAAUCAAAUCUUCAAAGUGUCAAAUUGAAGUUCUGUGAAUUUGAAUCCUUGAUGGUCAGUUAACACAGAUUUGAUUCAUACUGUAAAUAAAGAUGGACGAUGUGACGACGCCCUGAAGUGACGAAGUUAAACAAGGUCUCGUCUCACUGACGUUUGUUCAAGGGUUCCACAGACCGACUGCAAAUCAAGUCAUCAUCACAAGAUGGCCGCUUUUGUAUCAGAGAGUUUCAGGAAGCGGAGACGUGUCGUCCGUCUGUAUCUAUUCACGUCGGCGUGUUGUUUACAGUGUGAGAGAUGGAAAGGGCAGUUCUGUAACUCUGGCUCAUCUCAGCUGAUUCUUUCAUUUGAAACCUCGGAGGUUCAGCUCGUGUAGAGGAGAGAGACUGAAAAGAUAUCACCCCGAACAGAAGAAGGUUUGAAGUCAAUGUUUUUGAAUGUUUGUUGAACUGAUGCAUCACUCAGGUUCAAACAGGUGCUUCACUAACACAGUUCGAAUGAGUCGUCACCGACGGGUCCCCCGCAAUUCAGAUGAUAUUCACAUAAAUUCACAGGUGACGGGUCCGGACAGAGCAGCAUCACAUGAAACAUCAUCACAUUUACAUACGUUUCAUUUCCUGGACGUGGAAGAAGAAGGUUCCUUCUCUCUGUGGAAAAACAGGAAACAAAAAAAAAUCAACGUCCGACCUCCUGAACGGAGAAGUUCAGUUUUACAAACAAACUCAAAACAGAGCACAGAGAAUCAUGGGAAGUGUAGUAUUUAGAGUCUUAAACGUGACAAAGACAUGAGAUCUGACUGUUGUUUUUGUUUUCAUCCUGCAGCACACACACACACACACACAGAGAGAGCACAUAGCCUGUAGCACCAUCUAGUGGUUAUUACUUAGAAGUGCAGGUUUUCUUAUUUCUCAGUUUCAGCCACUGUGAAUCUCAUGUAUUCUGAAUUCUUUUGAAUUACAGUUUAUUUUUAAACCAACCUAGUGGUUGAUUUAAAAAUAAAAAAGAGCGGAAA